rnacentral:rRNA from 1 species
CUGACUGCUAUCGGAUUGAUACUAAGCCAUGCGGGUCAUUGUAGUAAUACAAGGCAGACGGCUCAGUAACGCGUAGUCAACCUAACCUAUGGACGGGAAUAACCUCGGGAAACUGAGUAUAAUGCCCGAUAGAACAUUAUGCCUGGAAUGGUUUAUGUUCCAAAUGAUUUAUCGCCGUAGGAUGGGACUGCGGCCUAUCAGUUUGUUGGUGAGGUAAUGGCCCACCAAGACUAUUACAGGUACGGGCUCUGAGAGGAGUAGCCCGGAGAUGGGUACUGAGACACGGACCCAGGCCCUAUGGGGCGCAGCAGGCGAGAAAACUUUGCAAUGUGCGAAAGCACGACAAGGUUAAUCCGAGUGGUUUCUGCUAAAGGAACCUUUUGUCGGUCCUAGAAACACCGAUGAAUAAGGGGUGGGCAAGUUCUGGUGUCAGCCGCCGCGGUAAAACCAGCACCUCAAGUGGUCAGGAUGAUUAUUGGGCCUAAAGCAUCCGUAGCCGGCUCUAUAAGUUUUCGGUUAAAUCUGUACGCUCAACGUACAGGCUGCCGGGAAUACUGUAGAGCUAGGGAGUGGGAGAGGUAGACGGUACUCGGUAGGAAGGGGGUAAAAAUCCUUUGAUCUAAUUGAUGACCCACCUGUGGCGAAGGCCGGUCUACCAGAACACGUCCGACGGUGAGGGGAUGAAAGCUGGGGGGAGCAAACCGGGAUUAGAUACCC